rnacentral:rRNA from 1 species
AGUGAACGCUGGCGGUAGGCCUAACACAUGCAAGUCGAACGGCAGCACAGUAAGAGCUUGCUCUUACGGGUGGCGAGUGGCGGACGGGUGAGGAAUACAUCGGAAUCUACUUUUUCGUGGGGGAUAACGUAGGGAAACUUACGCUAAUACCGCAUACGACCUACGGGUGAAAGCAGGGGAUCUUCGGACCUUGCGCGAUUGAAUGAGCCGAUGUCGGAUUAGCUAGUUGGCGGGGUAAAGGCCCACCAAGGCGACGAUCCGUAGCUGGUCUGAGAGGAUGAUCAGCCACACUGGAAAUGAGAAACGGUCCAGACUCCUAAGGGAGGCAGCAGUGGGGAAUAUUGGAAAAUGGGCGCAAGCCUGAUCCAGCCAUACCGCGUGGGUGAAGAAGGCCUUCGGGUUGUAAAGCCCUUUUGUUGGGAAAGAAAAGCAGCAGGUUAAUACCCCGCUGUUCUGACGGUACCCAAAGAAUAAGCACCGGCUAACUUCGUG